UUUAACUGAGCGUUCAGUUACUUGACGUAGACCCGAAACCGGGCGACCUACCCAUGAGCAGGAUGAAGCGAAAGUAAAAUUUCGUGGAGGUCCGAACCCACGAGCGUUGAAAAGCUCGGGGAUGACUUGUGGGUAGCGGUGAAAUUCCAAUCGAGCCCGGAGAUAGCUGGUUCUCCCCGAAAUAGCUUUAGGGCUAGCCUCAAGGUGAGAGAUACGGAGGUAGAGCACUGAAUGUCCUAGGGGGUAUUGCACCUACCGAAGACUAUCAAACUCCGAAUGCCGUCAUCUUAUACUUGGGAGUCAGACUGUGGGUGAUAAGAUUCAUAGUCGAAAGGGCAACAGCCCAGAUCGUCAGCUAAGGUCCCUAAAUGUAAGUUAAGUGGUAAAGGAUGUGGGAUUGCACAGACAACCAGGAUGUUGGCUUAGAAGCAGCCACUCAUUCAAAGAGUGCGUAAUAGCUCACUGGUCGAGUGAUCCUGCGCCGAAGAUUUCCGGGGCUAAAACUUACUACCGAAGCUACGGCAUCAGUAAUGAUGGGUAGGGGAGCUUCCCAUACGGGUUGAAGCAUGACCGUAAGGACAUGUGGACAGUAUGGGAGUGAGAAUGUUGGCAUGAGUAGCGAGAUGU
rnacentral:rRNA from 1 species